rnacentral:misc_RNA from 1 species
GAUGAAGAACGCAGCGAAAUGCGAUAAAUAAUGUGAAUUGCAGAAUUCAGUGAAUCAUCGAGUCUUUGAACGCACAUUGCGCCCCCUGGUAUUCCGGGGGGCAUGCCUGUUCGAGCGUCAUUAUAACCCCUCAAGCUCGGCUUGGUGUUGGGGCCUGCCGCACGGGCAGCCCUUAAAAUCAGUGGCGGUGCCAUCUGGCUCUAAGCGUAGUAAUUCUUCUCGCUAUAGAGUCCCGGUGGAUGCUUGCCAUUAACCCCCAAUUUCAAUGGUUGACCUCGGAUCAGGUAGGGAUACCCGCUGAACUUAAGCAUAUCAAUAAGCGGAGGA